rnacentral:rRNA from 1 species
GUCAGCCGCCGCGGGAACACCGGCGGCCCGAGUGGUGAUCGUGAUUAUUGGGUCUAAAGGGUCCGUAGCCGGUUUGGCCAGUCCUCCGGGAAAUCUGAUAGCUCAACUAUUAGGCUUUCGGGGGAUACUGCCAGACUUGGAACCGGGAGAGGUAAGAGGUACUACAGGGGUAGGAGUGAAAUCUUGUAAUCCCUGUGGGACCACCUGUGGCGAAGGCGUCUUACCAGAACGGGUUCGACGGUGAGGGACGAAAGCUGGGGGCACGAACCGGAUUAGAUACCCGGGUAGUCCCAGCCGUAAACGAUGCUCGCUAGGUGUCAGGCAUGACGCGACCGUGUCUGGUGCCGCAGGGAAGCCGUGAAGCGAGCCACCUGGGAAGUACGGCCGCAAGGCUGAAACUUAAAGGAAUUGGCGGGGGAGCACAACAACGGGUGGAGCCCUGCGGUUUAAUUGGACUCAACGCCGGACAACUCACCGGGGGCGACAGCAAUAUGUAGGCCAAGCUGAAGACUUUGCCUGAAUCGCUGAGAGGUGGUGCAUGG